CCGAGACGUCUUCGAGAGAUCGGCAUUGACUUGCCGUCGAGACUCUUUCGAGACUUGCCAGAAGACUUCUAUAAAAGCCAAGUGUGAAAUCUAAUUCCUUUUACAAGUUCAUCUCCAAAUCCAGGCGACAGCUCUUUUUCUUGAAAAGGCAGAACUGCUGUGUCCUUGAGAAUAACCUGCUUGUAAUGAGCGCCCCGUAAUCUUGCGGAGGAGCUACUUUUAAUUGACAAAAGAACCAUCAAAGGCAACUUCACAGAUGGGACUAAACCCAAAUUAUAUUUUAAUUAAGAGGGAUGUAAGGAUUCUUUGCUUCCCCAGGCGGGGAAGUGCUUCCCGGUGGACCGCCGUCAGAAUUCACUCUGAGGUUACUGCACGAGAUGGAGUGCUGCCCAAAAGUUUUCAACGGAAUCACCCUUCAACCACCCUCUAACCACCUGAACCAUCAACAAACUGUGAAAAGAGGAACGUUUGAGUUGGGGCAAAGAACCGAGGGAGUUAAAGACAACUUGACAGUGAGGAAUUCUGGAUCACAAUAUCAUCUGCGAACAUCAUAGUCCAAGGGGAUUCCAGUCUAAACUCAUCUGUCAGUCUAUCCAUGACCACAGCAAAGAGGAAGGGGCUCAGAGCGGAUGCCUGAUGCAGUCCCACCUCCACCUUAAAAUCUUCUGUCAAACCGACGGCACACCUCAACACUGUUCUGCUGCCCUCAUGUAUGUCCUGUACUAUUCUACAUAUUUCUCUGC